UGGUGGGCAGCUCUGGAACAGGGCACAUCC
rnacentral:piRNA from 1 species